rnacentral:lncRNA from 1 species
UUACAAAGUAAAAUAUUGUAUCACUAUAUAUCCUUUAGAAUGGCCACAAUCUGAACCCUGACAAUACUAAUAGUGGUAAGGAUGUGGUAUAAUAGUAACUGUCAUUCUUGCAUUAGGAUGCAAACUGUAGCUGCCAUAGAAGACACUUUGUAUCUCAUAGAACUUAACGUGCUUGUUAAAAGUUCCAACAAUUGUUCUUGGCCUGCAUUCAGAUAAAUUGAAGCUUUCUAUAGCCAGACAAAAAUUUGUACAUGGGUACCUAUAGCAAUUUUAUUUAUAACUACCAAUACAAUCGUCUAAUAUUCCAGUGCAUGAAUAGAUAAGCUGAUCAUUGAAAAUGAUUAGUUUUAUGAGCCUACUGAGAGACAAGAAGGAAUUUUAUUUAACUAAUAAUAACUUAAGAAGUAUUUUGAGGCAUAAUCUCACUCUAGUCCUACCUGGAUCUUUGUAGACCAGGCUGGCCUUGAGCUCAUAGAGAGAUUCACCUGCUUGAAACUCCCCAGUGUUAAGAUUCAGAAGUGUGCCACCACAGCCAGUUUGACACGGAGCAAUUUUUUUUUUUUUUGGUAAAGAUUUAUUUAUUUAUUUAACACCUAUGAGUAUUUUAUCUGCAGGCCAGAAGAGGGCAGCAGAACUCAUUACAGAUGGUUGUGAGCCACCAUGUGGUUGCUGGGAAUUGAAGUCAGGACCUCUAGAAGAGCAGCUGGUGCUCUUGAUGCCCUGAGCCAUCUCUCCGGCCCCCUACAUGGAGAAAUUUAGCUAUUAUUAAAUGAAAGAAGCCAAUCUGAAAAGACUAAGUCUGUGAUACUCUUUUUGUUUCGUUUGUUUUUCAAGAUAGAGUUUCUCCAUGUAGCCCUGGAUAUCUGGGAACUCACUCUGUAGACAUUUUUACAUUUUUACCUUUUAACAUUUUUAAGCCUGUAGAAGAAUGAGGUUAGCCAGGCGUGGUGGCGCAUGCCUUUAAUCCCAGCACUCGGGAGGCAGAGGCAGGCGGAUUUCUGAGUUCGAGGCCAGCCUGGUCUACAGAGUGAGUUCCAGGACAGCCAGGGCUAUCCAGAGAAACCCUGUCUCGAAAAACCAAACAAAACCAAAAAGAAUGAGGUUGUUGUGAGCGGUCAAAACCAUUUGGGUCAAGAAUCCAAAUAAUCCUGGUAUGUGGCUUUUAUGUCUAGCUAUUCAUUUCCUGAAAGAUGACAUCAUGCAGCCCUUCCUUUGGAGAAGCCUGGGUUGUGCUUGUCCCUCUGUCGCAGCCUGUUCACAGCUGAGAGGCUGGUGAGUCCCGGGCCUUUGCAGAGCUGAGGCUGCUCUGUGUGAAGCAGAGAACUGGUUGCUUUGGUGGAAGAGGAGGCUGCGUUGAUGACGACGCUUUUUCUGAUUGGUUAGGCCUCCUGGCAGCUAAUAGGUGUCUGAGCCCCUUGGGGAGAUCUUGAGUAAUGUCACUUAAAAGGGAAACCAUUAUUCCAUCUUUGCAGUAGGGGUUUGGUGACCAUACUGGGUGUGGUUAUCUCAGUGCACUGUGACCUCUGCUUGGUAGCCUCAUGCUGAAUUCUUAGGCAUGGAUACCUUGUAUUUGCACCUCAGAUAUUGACGCUGACCUAAAAAAAAAUCUGUUUGUCUAAUGAAUCAAUGAGUUUAUUGGGGUCACUUUGUCGGGGUGAGAGGUUCUUACGGGAGCUUGAGUGGCUCAGUGGGCAGCUACAACAACACAUGUUCCCUCCUCCCCCUGCAGAUGCUCAGGACUCACCAACCUCUCAGCUGUGGUAAACAGGGUGACACAAAGGGACCAAGCACAACUGAAACUCCUUUAAAUUAAGGGCUGCGUGGCAUCAACUAAGUUAUGUCUUCAGCUCUUGAACUCAAUUAUGUCAAAAGAAUUUUACUUGGAGAUAAAAUGUAUUACAAUCUCAGAAAGCAGUUUAUUAAAUUAGGGGAAAAACUAAUGUUUUUUUCAAAGAUUUAGUUUGUGUAUAUUUUUUCUAUCUGUAUGUAACCACUCAUGAAAGCUGUUUCCUUGGAGGUUUAUAACCAAAUUGCUUGUACCUUGGCUGGUCAAAAUCUCUUUCCCCUUACAUUUGUUUAUUGUUUUUUUUUUCUCCUCUUUUUUUUAAAAGACUUAUUUAUUUAUUUAUUAUAUGUAAGUACAUCAUAGCUGUCUUCAGACAUUCCAGAAGAGGGUGUCAGAUCUCAUUACAGAUGGUUGUGAGCCACCAUGUGGUUGCUGGGAUUUGAACUCAGGACCUUCGGAAGAGCAGUCAGUGCUCUUAACCUGCUGAGCCAUCUCUCCAGCCCCUGUUUAUUGUUUUUACAACCCUGGGGAGGGUUUUGUGAAUCUUGUAAAUUUCAGGAGUUUUUUGAGCUUUGUAAAUGUUAUUUCUUGAUUAUAAUGGACCUUCCUCCAAGAAGAAGUAUUUAUUUGAGAGGAAAUGUUUAAGUUACUAAGAGUACAACAGGCACUUGUCUAGAAUGCAUAAGCUUUUGGAUUUUAUCCCCAGCACCUAAAAAAAAAAAAAAAGAAAGAAAGAAAGAAAAUGGAAUUAAAGAACAGAGGAAGCCAGGCAGUGGUGGCGCACGCCUUUAAUCACAGCUCUCGGGAGGCAGAGGCAGGCGGAUUUUUGAGUUCAAGGCCAGUCUGGUCUACAAAGUGAGUUCCAGGACAGCCAGGGCUAUAACCCUGUCUCAAAAUA